UUUUUUUAAUUAUUCUUUUUUUUUUUUUAACGUUUAUUUAUUUUGGGGACAGAGAGAGACAGAGCAUGAACGGGGGAGGGGCAGAGAGAGAGGGAGACACAGAAUCGGAAGCAGGCUCCAGGCUCUGAGCCAUCAGCCCAGAGCCCCACGCGGGGCUCGAACUCACGGACCGCGAGAUCGUGACCUGAGCUGAAGUCGGACGCUUAACCGACUGAGCCACCCAGGCGCCCCGUGACAGUUUUAAUCAUGAACAGUUAUUACAGCAGCCAGCCAGCACAGGGAGUAAAAAGAACUAACCCGUUGGUGGGUGGUGACUAGGGGAUCGCUAACUGAUUUGGGAAAAACAUGAAUCUUGGUUUUCUUAAGAAUCCUUGCCACCUGCUUUGGGAUUCUCCUUGCCUGGUUCAUUCUGAAAUGAGGUGGUUGGAAGCCUUACAUCAAGAGGAAUGGGGCCACCGUGACCAGAGUGCCCACCUUUGAAUUGCAGGCAACAACGUGAACCUGUUUCCAGCAUGAAAUGUUCUAUGAAGACCUUUGUAUGGAAGACCUGGCCUCAUUUACCAGGUACCCACUGAGGGACAUUCGAGUUACAUCCAGUUUGUCAUGGAGAAACAUGGGGGCAGAGACGUGACACAGCCCGUAAGGAGAAAGCCGGGAUUGAUCUCCCAUCUGUUUGACUCAGGACUUUUUCAUUUAGAAUAGGAAAUAUUAAUAUUAAAAUUGUUAUAUUAAAUAGUAAAGCUGGAGAACGCUCCAGAUCCCCUAAGCCAAUCCCCUCGCCUGACAAGGCCCAGAGUGGAAGGGACUUGCCCAAGGACAUACAGCAGGAUGGUGACAGUGCAGAGCCGGGGCUCCAGGCUCCUGAUGGCCACUCAGGAGCCAGGUUCCCGGUGCCCAGGGGUAAGGAGGCCUCUCCCAUUGGGAGGAGCCGGGGAGCUUAUGGGGCUGUGAGCAUCUCUGCAGCCCCGACCCAGGCCAGGUGCCAGGAGAAGCCACUGUUUUUCACUGGCCACUGCAAUUACUCCUUUUGUCCAUAAUUCUACGUGCGGGUCUGCUCCCAACUCCUGCCUGGAUUUUCCUCCCUGCAGCUGCCCUCAGUGCCAAGGAAGGGUGACCAAAAGUGUCUGCUCUGGCUGCUGAGUCAACCUGUUCUGCAUUUCAGGCCCUGAACUACCCCUGCCCCUGCCCACCCCCACCCCCCAACCCCCCAGCGGCUCACGCCUUCCCGGUCUUGUUUUCAGGCUAGUUUUUUGUAAGGAUAUGUUUUAUUUAACCCAACAUAUGUAAAAAAAAAAAAUGUGAUUUCAACAUACAGCCAAUACAAAUAAAGUGUUAACAAGGCAUUUUA